CCCUAGCCUGGGAACCUCCAUGUGCUGCAGGAGCGGCCCAAGAAAUGGCUAAAAGACCAAAAAAAAAAAAAAAUGCAUUUCAUAAAUGUGUGUAAAAGGAUCUAAAAUCAUUGAAUGGUGGAAUAAAUUUCCUAAAGCCUGUUUUUUAAGUUGAUGAUACUUCUGUAGGUACAGACCUUUUCGAAAUCUGAGUCUCUGAUUUGGAACCAUAUAUGUACUUCUGGUCAUAAUGAUAAAAAAUUUUUAUUGAUUUGUGAGCUCAGAAGUAAAUUUUUCUUGGUCAUUAGAGUACUGGUGUUUGUAAAUUCAUUUCCUCUCUUCCCUGUAGAAUCCUAGCACAGGACUGGGUAUGUAGUUGAUAGGGACUCUUUUUAAAAAAAAAAAAAAGAAUUUCAGAACAGCUGCAGCAGAACGUUAAAUCAAGCAUGGAGUCCUAUGUGACUGCACAGGUUGCACACCCAUGAAGUUGGUUAAUAUUUUUUUUUUUUUUUUUUUUUUGGUCUUUUUAGGGCUGCACCCUUGACAUACGGAAAUUCGCAGGCUAGGAGUUCCAGUGAACUCCCAUAUACGUUCCUGUUCUUAUUCUCCUCCAUUAUGGUUGAUCACAGGAUAGUGCAUAUAGUUUCCUGUGCUAUAUAGUAGGACCUGGUUGUUUAUCCAUUCAGUGUAUAAUAACCUGCAUCUGCUAAACCCAAAACUCCCAAUUCACCCCUUCCCCUUGGCAACCACAAGUCUCUUCUCCGUCUGUGUCUUUGCCUAUGUUUAUUGGCCAUUUAGAUUUCCUUUGCAAUUGCCCAUUCAAGUCUUUCAUCCAUUUUUCUAUUGGAUUAUUUAUUCCUUUUUAAGAAAAAUUUCUGAUUUGUAGUUCUUUGUAUAUUCUGGAUACAUAGUUGGUUAAGUUUGGGCAAAUGCUUUUGUCCAUUUAUUUGCUUUUGUUUUCACUGUAUUUAUGGCUUUUUUAAUAAUAGAAGUUCUUAACUUAAACCAUAUGGGGAAAAAAACUAGAUACAUUUCACUACAUACCUAGUUUUUUUCCUUUAUAGUUGCUUUUUAUGUCUUUUAAGAGUCUUUCCAUAUCUAGAGGUCAUGAGACUAUUUUCUUAAACAUUUUUUGAAGGCUUGAUACAUUUUUUUUUUUUUUGUCUUUUGUCUUUUUAGGGCCACACCCACAGCAUAUGGAGGCUCCUAGGCUAGGGGUCGAAUAGGAGCUGUAUCCACCAGCCUACACCACAGCCACAGCAAUGCCAGAUCCAAGCCUUGCCUGUGACCUACACCACAGUUUAGGGCAAGGCUGGAUCCUUAACCCACUGAGCAAGGCCAGGGGUUGAACCCAUCUCCUCAUGGAUAUUAGUCAGGUUCGUUGACCACUGAGCCACGACCGGAACUCCAAGGCUUCAUGUUUUUGCUUUUUACAGUUAUGUUAGUAACUCACUUGAUGUUGUUUUAUGUUUGAAAUAGAGACCAAUUUCAUUUUUUCCCAUGUGGAUAUCAGUACCAGCACACUUUGCUGAAAGGCUAAUCCUUUUCCCACUGUUUACAUAGUAACUCUUUUCAUAAAUCAGGUGUCCAUUUAUGUGUGGCUGUGUUUCUUGGCUGCCUGUUCUGUUCCAUUUGUUCUUAUGGCAGUACCUUACCAUCUUUAGUAUGGUCUAAUCUUUAAGUCUUCACAUCUUGAUUCCUCUUCCCAUUUGAAGGACAUUUUAGCUUUUCUUUAACUUUUAUACUUUGCGAAUCAUUUCAACAUCUCCAUUAUGAAAAACCACACCCUGCCAGUAUUUUCAUUGAGAUUAUAUUGGAUCAUCAGUUCAAAUUAAGAGAAUUUAUAAUUUAUAGACUUGGUAAUUUAUUUUGGUCUUUAAUGUCAUUUAGUGCCUCCUUAUAAUUUUUCCCGAAGAGGUCUUGCACAUCUUUGUUGGAUUUAGUCCUGGCUGCUUGAUAGUUUUUGAUGCCGUUACACGUACAUUGCCUCUUUUCUUGACAUUUUUUUUCCUAGUGUAUACAUAAUUUCUGUAACCUGCAGUCUUGCUAAAUCUUUGUAAUUCUUUUCUUUAUAUAUUGUAAUCUUUUCCUUUAUACAUUUCUUUAUAUAAUAAGGAAUGAUAGUUUCCUAAUUUCGAACAUUUUAUUACAAAAGAUAUUCUAUAUCUGGUAAUAUUUCUUGCCUUAAAGUCUACUGCUUCUUUUAUUAAGUAUAGCCAAACCAGUUUUCCCUUUUUAAAUAUUUGCUUGAUGUCUUUCUUUAUAAUCUGUUUUCUAAAUUUUUUGUUUCCUUAAAUUUUCAGUUGUGUUUUCACAUGAUGUAUAGUUGGAUUUUUAAAUUUGAAGGUGCUGGAAAGGUACAGCUCAGUCUCUCUUCAGCAAAUUACCUCCAGAGCAGAUGCCAAUCCAAGUAUUGGACUCACCUCUCUGAAUUUCAGUCUUUUUUCAAUUUUAAAUAUUUUUAAAAAUUUUAUAAUUUUAAUUUUUUCCAUUAUAGCUGAGCUGGUUUACAGUGUUCUGUCAUUUUUCUACUGUAGAGCAAGGUGACCCAGUUACACAUACAUGUGUACAUUCUUUUUUCUCACAUUAUCAUGCUCCAUCAUAAGUGACUAGAUGUAGUUCCUGGUGUGAUACAGCAGGAUCUCGUUGCUUAUCCAUUCCAAAGGCAGUGGUUUGCUUCUCUUAACCCCAAAUUCCCAGUGCAUCCCACUCCCUUCCCCUCCCCCUUGGCAACCACAAGUCUGUUCCCCAUGUCCAUGAUUUUCUUUUCUGUGGAAAGGUUCAUUUGUGCUGUGUAUUAGAUUCCAGAGAUAAGUGAUAUCAAAUCAUUGGUAUUUGUCUUUCUGACUGACUUCACUUAGUAUGAGAGUCUUGAGUUCCAUACAUGUUGCUGCGAAGAAUUUUAAAUAUUUUAUCCAGUUUUUGAAGUUGUCUUUAGUAGGACUGGUGGUUUGAAUUGUAUUGCCGGAAGUGUUUUAACCUUUAUUUAAGUUUUCUGCUUUGGGUUUUAUGAUAAAAUUUUGUGUUGGAAGUCCUUCCAGCUAAAAACUGGGACUAAAUAGGUAGACUUGUAGGGAGUUGCUUUGGAUUGUAGAAUAGAAUUGGGGUCAGGGAUGCAACGUGAAUUGAUAUGUUAGAGGUCAAAGUAUAGCUAUAAAAUAUUAAGUGAAAUUUGUUAAUCAAAUGCAUUUUUGUGACUUGACUUCAUCCUGGGAUGAAAGCUGCUUUAACUUACCUACUAUGUUCUCAUUAGUUUUAUAGUAAACUGAAAGAAGCUUUCCUCCCUCUGUUGCUAGGCUGAGAAGCAUUAGAAUAAAAAUUGGAAGCAGGAAAAAUAUGCAACAGUGCCAGAAUGAAAACCAGGAAUGACGGAUCCCAAACAAACUUUGAACCCACUUGAAACUGUGUUUUCAUCCCAGUGAUAAUCUGAAAUAUUUUAUAAUGUGUUUAAAAAAAAAAUCUUAGCUCUGUUGAGGUUUGGGUGCAAAUGCAAGAUGAAAGUAGAAUUUUCAAGAAAUUUAGGGUGGCUCUUGGAUCUGCUAAUUGGGUGACAAAAGGAAUAAUUUUAAAAAUAGGCUUUCAGGGGUUCCUAUUGUGACAACCCCAAUAGUAUCCACAAGGAUGUGGGUUCUGUCCCUGGCCUCUUUCAGUGGGUUAAAGAUCUGGCUGCAAACCAAGGUGUAGGUUGCAGAGGCAGCUCAUGUGGCACUGCUGUGGCUGUGGUGUAGGCCAGCAGCUGUCGCUCUGAUUAGGCCCCUAUCCUGGGAACUU
ensembl:lncRNA